rnacentral:rRNA from 1 species
AGAGUUUGAUCCUGGCUCAGAACGAACGCUGGCGGCAUGGAUUAGGCAUGCAAGUCGAACGGUGCAGCAAUGCACAGUGGCGCAAGGGUGAGGAACGCGUGAGUAACCUGCCCUUAAGUUGGGAAUAGCUCCUGGAAACGGGAAUUAAUACCGAAUGUGAUCGUCGGGAGACAUCUUCUGAUGAUUAAAGGCCGCAAGGUCGCUUAAGGAGGGGCUCGCGUCCCAUUAGCUGGUUGGUGAGGUAACGGCCCACCAAGGCGAAGAUGGGUAGCUGGUCUGAGAGGACGAUCAGCCACAUUGGGACUGAGAUACGGCCCAGACUCCUACGGGAGGCUGCAGUCGAGAAUUUUGGGCAAUGGGGGCAACCCUGACCCAGCAAUGCCGCGUGCGGGAUGAAGGUCUUCGGAUUGUAAACCGCUGUCAAGAGGGACGAAUACAAUUGACGGUACCUCUGGAGGAAGUCACGGCUAACUACGUGCCAGCAGCCGCGGUAAUACGUAGGUGACAAGCGUUGUUCGGAUUCAUUGGGCGUAAAGGGUCCGCAGGUGGUUUGAUAAGUCUGACGUGAAAUACCGGAGCUCAACUCCGGAACUGCGUUGGAGACUGUUGAACUGGAGUAUCGGAGAGGAAAUUGGAAUUCCAGGUGUAGCGGUGGAAUGCGUAGAUAUCUGGAAGAACAUCGACAGCGAAGGCAGAUUUCUGGACGAUAACUGACACUCAGGGACGAAAGCAUGGGGAGCAAACAGGAUUAGAUACCCUGGUAGUCCAUGCCCUAAACGUUGUAAACUUGAUAUGGGAAGAUUUACUCCUUUCCGUGUCGAAGCUAACGCGAUAAGUUUACCGCCUGGGAACUACGGCCGCAAGGCUAAAACUCAAAGGAAUUGACGGGGGCCCGCACAAGCGGUGGAGCAUGUGGUUUAAUUCGACGCAACGCGAAGAACCUUACCUGAUCUUGACAUCGUAAGAACCUCACUGAAGGGUGAGGGUGCCUUCGGGAACUUACAUACAGGUGCUGCAUGGCUGUCGUCAGCUCGUGCCGUGAGGUGUUCGGUUAAGUCCGGCAACGAGCGCAACCCAUGUCAUCAGUUGCCAGCAGGUAAAGCUGGGCACUCCGAUGAGACUGCCCGUGUUAAGCGGGAGGAAGGCGUGGAUGACGUCAAGUCCGUAUGGCCUUUAUAUCCGGGGCUGCACACGUGCUACAAUGGUCGGUACAGAAGGAAGCAAAGCCGCGAGGCGGAGCAGAUCCCCAAAACCGUGCCUUAGUUCAGAUUGCAGUCUGCAACUCGACUGCAUGAAGCCGGAAUCGCUAGUAAAGGCGUAUCAGCUACGACGCCUUGAAUACGUUCCCGGGCCUUGUACACACCGCCCGUCACAUCAUGGGAGCUGAUUGCACCCGAAGUCGCUGCCCCGACCCGCAAGGGAGGGAGGCGCCUAAGGUGUGGUUAGUGACUGGGAUGAAGUCGUAACAAGGUAGCCGUUGGGGAACCAGCGGCUG